UUCUUAUAUACCUUCUGUGAUUAUUUUAAUUGUCAACCUGACACAAUCUAGGAUGACUUGGAAAAGGCUUCCAAAUGAGGGACUGUAUAGAUUGGGCAUUUUUUGGAGGUAUUGCCCUCACUGUGUUAGUCGAGAUGGGAAACCACUGUGGGUGGUACCAUUCCCUAGAUUGUAUACAUUCCUGCAUUGUAUAAGAAUGGAGAAAGCAGUCCGAGCACCACUGUUGUGUGCUUGUGACAACUCAUUGUUCUCCGCUAUCUUGCUGCAGAUGCAGUGUGGGAGUUACUUCAGGCUCCUACCUCCUUGAUCAUCCCAUGACAAUGGGCUUUGUCCUAGAAUGUGAGCCAGAUAAGUCCUUUAUCCUCUAAGUUGGUCAUGUCAGGUAUUAAUACAGCAACAAAGGAAAGAUGAGGGCACACUGCUAGUUAGCUUUGUACCAACAUGACAAAAAAACAUAGGUAAUUAACUAAAGGAAUUGGUUUAUCCCUCAGCUUCAGCCACCUCAACCUGUGUUCACUUGGCUUUGCUGCUUUGGGUGUGUUGGAGCCUAGGACGUCAUAGUUGGGCCACGUAGAUACUGGAUCCCCUCAUGGUGACUGGGCAUACCUUCUUUAAUCGAUAAUAACUUAAUGUCCUCCUUUUAGAUUCCAGAAGCUUGUUGUGGGCUAGGGACUCUGUUUUUCAUUUUUUGAGAACCUACUGCCAAAUCAAUAGCUUUAGAUAAAUCAAAUUUAAGAGGAUCUAACUGAACAGAAGAUGAAUCAAGAAUCAAGCAGCUAAGAGUCCCUGGAAAUCAGAGCUCUCCCCUCUCCUCCCCUCCUCUCCCCUCCCCUCCCAUCCCUUCCCCUCACCUCUUCUCUCUCUCUUCCCUGCCUGGCCCUGCCCUAUUCUGUCCUUCAAGGUAAUAAGCAGACCGUAUCUUUGGACAGAGAACAGAAACGAGGUACAGAUAUCCUUAGUGCCUAAAACUUGGUUUGCUUUAUUGAACACAGACUGAAUAACAUUGACUGCCCAUGGUCCAUGAAGUCUGGCUACUGUGCUUAGAAAAGUAGAGUCCUAAAAGUAGGAGUUGGCAUACUAAGUCUGUACCCAGUGUCUGUCCUGUGCUGCUAAAACCAACAGCCCCAUGAGUGCGUAACUUGCAGAGAGCCAAGACUUGCUACUCAUAAUUAAUAGGGCUGGGAAAGCCAGGAUAGAGGGGCCCACAUCUAACAAGGGCUUUUGAGCUAUUUCAUCCCAUGGCAAAAGGGCCAGAGAGAACCCAGGAGACCAGGGAGGGAGAUACCAAGUCCAGCCUCUCUUGGGAACCCAUUCCUGUGGUGCCAACAUUGUCGUCAGGAUGCUCAUGACCUCAGCAUCACUCCACUGAAGAUUCAGUUUCAAAAACGUGAGGUUCGAGGAUACACACAGGUCACAGCUGUCACGUCACAUCCGUCACCAAGCACUGAAAGGAAAGGGUAGAGCUAACCUAACACUCAGGCUAGAGCUAAUCUAGCAGUACACGUUGCACGAUGUUCCACAGGUACUGUGGGGG
rnacentral:lncRNA from 1 species